rnacentral:sRNA from 1 species
GCCGCGCCUAGCCUUUGGCCGGGCGAAAAUCGGGCUCCCUUACCCGAAUGGCGCGGCUCCUAUCGUAAGGG